UUUACUGCAGGUACAUCCGAUCGAGCAGGGACUUGCACUCAUCCGAUCGUCACUAGAAGCCGCAUUGAUAAACACUAGAUAUAUCUUAAAUGGUUCCUGUGGAUAUUGUGGUCAUGAGUUAUGUGUGGUGUGCCAUCGCAGAGAUGAUUGUGUGUUUCUUGAAGGUCUGUCGGGCGCCAAGAAUUUGGAGUUGAUAGCUGACUACGUUAUGGUAUGCUUGCACUCUUUUCUAGUGGAUAUGCUCGCUGUUUUGCUAACAUUGUUUGUUGUUUUCUGUUCAUCCCGGUAUUAUUAAAUCAUACGCUUGAAGUUAGAGCUUCAAUUGUCUUUUAAUUCUUCACCUCGUCUAGGUUUACAGAAUGGAUAUGCUCGCUGUUUUGCUAACACUGUUUGUUGUUUUCUGUUCAC
rnacentral:lncRNA from 1 species